GACGAACGCUGGCGGCGUGCUUAACACAUGCAAGUCGAACGGAAAGGCCCUGCUUUUGUGGGGUGCUCGAGUGGCGAACGGGUGAGUAACACGUGAGUAACCUGCCCUUGACUUUGGGAUAACUUCAGGAAACUGGGGCUAAUACCGGAUAGGAGCUCCUGCUGCAUGGUGGGGGUUGGAAAGUUUCGGCGGGUGGGGAUGGACUGGCGGCUUAUCAGCUUGUUGGUGGGGUAGGGGCUUACCAAGGCUUUGACGGGUAGCCGGCCGGAGAGGGUGACCGGCCACCUUGGGACUGAGAUACGGCCCAGACUCCUACGGGAGGCAGCAGUGGGGAAUAUUGCACAAUGGGCGGAAGCCUGAUGCAGCAACGCCGCGUGCGGGAUGACGGCCUUCGGGUUGUAAACCGCUUUCGCCUGUGACGAAGCGUGAGUGACGGUAAUGGGUAAAGAAGCACCGGCUAACUACGUG
rnacentral:rRNA from 1 species